UUCUCCAUCACUCACUCCGCCUCCCCUCUCCUACUUGUAAAUGGAUGAUUCCCAAGCCCCACACCAUCAUCUCACUACCCGCUAUGUCGCCGGCACUAAGCACAGCUGGUGCAACAUCAUUCCUGGCGCUACCGACAUCACCGUCCUCCUCCUCUGUCUCUCCCACCCAAUCCCUUGUUCCCUCCUUGCCGCUGCCAUCACCGAUCUCCUCAACUCCCAUCCCCUCCUUCGGCCCGUCUUACUAGAACCAACCCAAACGAACCCUUCUUCAUCUCCAUCCCUCCCCUUUCAAACCCCAUCAUUGAAAUUCUAUCCCUAUCCCCAGUCUGUCCCUUCCUCUCCAUCCUCGAUCUCGAACUGAACGAGAAACCCUUGGGCCGAUACUGCCGAACCCAGCCAAAUCCCGGUUUUCUUCACAAUGAUCUAUGAGAAGCAACCCAGAUCCCAGUCUAUCCCUUAUCGUUUUUCAAUACCACACCUCCGUCUGUGACCACACGGUGGUGGUGGAAAUCCUGAAGGAGUUGAUGGCGCUGCUGGGUAAAGGAGGAGAAGAUGGACAAUCAGGGAAUGGGGGGAACGGGGUCAAUUGGGGAAUUAAGGAUUUGAUUCCCAAAAUGGACUUGUGGAAGCCUGUUUUGGGCUCAAGGGAAGGAUCUUAUUGGAUAUUCACUAAGUGGGAUGAAGACUUAUUGGUUGGGCUUUCAGGAUAUGGGCUUAGCCCGAUCUUCUGAGGCAUGCAAAGAGAGGGGGAUAAAGUUAUUUUCGGCAAUAACAUCUUGAGAACAAUCAAGCAAAGACUUACUCAGUUGUCACUCUUAUUGAUCGGCGAAAAUAUUUAGAGCCUCCUCUACAUGAACACAAUGUUUGUAUGAUUUUGAUUUCAUUGACAUUAAUGAUCUUGCAGAAUAGAAUUGAUUGCACGUUUUAACUGAUAAUGUACCUUAAACUGGUUUAUUUGCAUGGUUCUACCAUUCGGCCAUAAUGAACAUACACACCAUGCACAAAGGAGAAGACUGCUGGGAAGUGGCUAAGAAAUAUGACAAUGCCUUCACCACUGCAACGAACAACAAGAAACACCUCACCGAUAUUGUGAUCUAUGAGUCCUCUCCUGCACAAAAACAACUUGGUGUGGAGGACUAUGUUGCAUGUGCAUCGGUCCACGGUAUCAGGCCAUCUAUUGC